CACGUAGGGCGCAAGCGUUGUCCGGAAUUAUUGGGCGUAAAGAGCUCGUAGGCGGUCUGUUGCGUCCGCUGUGAAAACUCGGGGCUUAACCCCGAGCCUGCAGUGGAUACGGGCAGACUAGAGGUAGGUAGGGGAGAAUGGAAUUCCCGGUGUAGCGGUGAAAUGCGCAGAUAUCGGGAGGAACACCGGUGGCGAAGGCGGUUCUCUGGGCCUUACCUGACGCUGAGGCACGAAAGCCAGGGGAGCAAACGGG
rnacentral:rRNA from 1 species